rnacentral:rRNA from 1 species
CCAGCUCCAAUAGCGUAUACUAAAGUUGUUGCAGUUAAAAAGCUCGUAGUUGAAUUUCUGGUCUCGAGACGCGGUCGGCUCCAAGGAGUCUGUACUUGUGGAUUGGGACCAUCCUCGAGAAGAACAUAUCUGUCAUUGAGUUGAUGGGUAUGGGACUCUCGUCAUUUACUGUGAGCAAAAUAGAGUGUUCAAAGCAGGCUUACGCCGUUGAAUACAUUAGCAUGGAAUAAUAAGAUAGGACCUUGGUCUAUUUUGUUGGUUAGUUCUCCAAGGUAAUGAUUAAUAGGGACAGUUGGGGGUAUUCGUAUUCAAUUGUCAGAGGUGAAAUUCUUGGAUUUAUGGAAGACGAACUACUGCGAAAGCAUUUACCAAGGAUGUUUUCA